ensembl:piRNA 21ur-9257 ncRNA
UUGCAGCUUUCAUUGUCCCUU